GUUUUAAUUUAAAACCAACCCUUUACCAAAGAGGGGCAGAUUUUCUUCCAUUUGAGGAGCAGCCGGCCUGGAUGUUUUUCUGGCUGGUUUUCUUUUACUUUUCUUUUCUUUUUCUUUCUUCCUUUUCACCUAGUUUUUCUUGCACAAUUUGGGGAUGAUUGAAACGUGGAGAUGGUGCAAUAGCUUGGAAAAGGAAACCCAUUGAUAUUGAAGAAUUAUCAACUAUUUCUCUCUUUAUCAAUAAAUUUUUCUUCUCACAUUUUCCAUCAAUAUUUUGUAAGAAAUUAUUAGUUGUUUGUGAAUAUCUCAUGGGUAACUAAAUAUAUUUGUGAUUGGGGG
rnacentral:lncRNA from 1 species